GUGGGGAAUAUUGGGCAAUGGGGGAAACCCUGACCCAGCAACGCCGCGUGAAGGAAGAAGGCUUUCGGGUUGUAAACUUCUUUUAUGAGGGACGAAGAAGUGACGGUACCUCAUGAAUAAGCCACGGCUAACUACGUGCCAGCAGCCGCGGUAAUACGUAGGUGGCAAGCGUUGUCCGGAUUUACUGGGUGUAAAGGGCGCGUAGGCGGGAUAGCAAGUCAGGUGUGAAAUCCGGGGGCUUAACCCUGGAACUGCACUUGAAACUGUUAUUGUUGCGUGCUGGAGAGGCAAGCGGUAUUCCUUGUGUAGCGGUGAAAUGCGUAGAUAUUAGGGGGAACGCCAGUGGCGAAGGCGGCUUGCUGGACAUUAACUGACGCUGAGGCGCGAAAGCGUGGGGGGCAAACAGGAUUAGAAACCCGGGUAGUCC
rnacentral:rRNA from 1 species